rnacentral:rRNA from 2 species
GGGACGUGGCGGCGUGCCUAUACAUGCAGUCGAACGAACUCUGGUAUUGAUUGGUGCUUGCAUCAUGAUUUACAUUUGAGUGAGUGGCGAACUGGUGAGUAACACGUGGGAAACCUGCCCAGAAGCGGGGGAUAACACCUGGAAACAGAUGCUAAUACCGCAUAACAACUUGGACCGCAUGGUCCGAGUUUGAAAGAUGGCUUCGGCUAUCACUUUUGGAUGGUCCCGCGGCGUAUUAGCUAGAUGGUGAGGUAACGGCUCACCAUGGCAAUGAUACGUAGCCGACCUGAGAGGGUAAUCGGCCACAUUGGGACUGAGACACGGCCCAAACUCCUACGGGAGGCAGCAGUAGGGAAUCUUCCACAAUGGACGAAAGUCUGAUGGAGCAACGCCGCGUGAGUGAAGAAGGGUUUCGGCUCGUAAAACUCUGUUGUUAAAGAAGAACAUAUCUGAGAGUAACUGUUCAGGUAUUGACGGUAUUUAACCAGAAAGCCACGGCUAACUACGUGCCAGCAGCCGCGGUAAUACGUAGGUGGCAAGCGUUGUCCGGAUUUAUUGGGCGUAAAGCGAGCGCAGGCGGUUUUUUAAGUCUGAUGUGAAAGCCUUCGGCUCAACCGAAGAAGUGCAUCGGAAACUGGGAAACUUGAGUGCAGAAGAGGACAGUGGAACUCCAUGUGUAGCGGUGAAAUGCGUAGAUAUAUGGAAGAACACCAGUGGCGAAGGCGGCUGUCUGGUCUGUAACUGACGCUGAGGCUCGAAAGUAUGGGUAGCAAACAGGAUUAGAUACCCUGGUAGUCCAUACCGUAAACGAUGAAUGCUAAGUGUUGGAGGGUUUCCGCCCUUCAGUGCUGCAGCUAACGCAUUAAGCAUUCCGCCUGGGGGAGUACGGCCGCAAGGCUGAAACUCAAAGGAAUUGACGGGGGCCCGCACAAGCGGUGGAGCAUGUUGGUUUAAUUCGAAGCUACGCGAAGAACCUUACCAGGUCUUGACAUACUAUGCAAAUCUAAGAAGAUUAGACGUUCCCUUCGGGGACAUGGAUACAGGUGGGGGCAGGGUUGUCGUCAGCUCCUGUCCUGAAAAUGUUUGGGUUAAAUCCCCCCACCAAGGCCACCCCUUAUUAUCAUUUGCCACCAUUAAAUUGGGCACCCUGGUGAGACUGCCGGUGAAAACCCGAGGAAAGGGGGGGGAGAGAAAGUCAAA